CGGAGCGUAGCGCAGCCUGGUAGCGCACCUGCUUCGGGAGCAGGGGGGCGGAGGUUCGAAUCCUCUCGCUCCGACCA
rnacentral:tRNA from 1 species